rnacentral:rRNA from 2 species
UUCGCAAUGCCCGAAAGGGUGACGAAGCGACGCCGCGUGGGUGAGGAAGGCCUUCGGGUUGUAAAACCCUGUCAGGAGUUAAGAAAUGUAAGUGCGCUAAUAUCGCAUUUAUUUGACGAAGGCUCCAAAGGAAGCCACGGCUAACUCUGUGCCAGCAGCCGCGGUAAUACAGAGGUGGCAAGCGUUGUUCGGAAUUAUUGGGCGUAAAGAGCACGUAGGUGGAUUUGUAAGUCAGAUGUGAAAGCCUUCUGUUCAACGGAAGAAUUGCAUCUGAAACUGCGAGUCUUGAGUGUAGGAGGGGAGAAUGGAACUUCUGGUGGAGCGGUGAAAUGCGUAGAUAUCAGAAGGAACGCCGGCGGCGAAAGCGAUUCUCUGGCCUAUUACUGACACUGAGUGUGCGAAAGCUAGGGGAGCAAACGGGAUUAGAUACCCCGGUAGUCCUAGCCGUAAACGAUGGGCACUAAGUAGAGGGGUUUU